AAUGGUUGGCCUCUGAUUUUCUCUAGUUCAAUUGUCGUUUUGAGUUUGGUCUACUUCGGAUCAAAAUGGACGGCGGGGGCGGUGAUGGUACCGUGAGGCUAGGGGCUCUGAACUUGAGGCCUGAUCGGAGUGGCGUUGAAUCGGGCCCGGAUGUGUCCGUUUCAUCGCCAGUGACGAGACAGAAAGCUGCUGCGGCGAAGCAGUUCAUAGAGAAUCACUAUAAGAAUUACUUGCAAGGUUUGCAAGAUCGUAAAGAGAGACGUCAAGCGCUUCAAAGGAGAGCACAAGAAGCGCGGGUAUCAAAUGAGGAACAAGAGGAGAUGCUGAGGAAUUUGGAACGCAGGGAAACUGAGUACAUGAGGCUGCAACGACGUAAAAUUGGAAUUGAUGACUUUGAACAAUUAACUGUGAUUGGUAAAGGUGC
rnacentral:misc_RNA from 1 species